UACGUAGGGCGCAAGCGUUGUCCGGAAUUAUUGGGCGUAAAGAGCUCGUAGGCGGUUUGUCGCGUCUGCUGUGAAAACCUGAGGCUCAACCUCGGGCUUGCAGUGGGUACGGGCAGACUAGAGUGCGGUAGGGGUGACUGGAAUUCCUGGUGUAGCGGUGGAAUGCGCAGAUAUCAGGAGGAACACCGAUGGCGAAGGCAGGUCACUGGGCCUGUGACUGACGCUCAUGCACGAAAGCGUGGGGAGCAAACAGG
rnacentral:rRNA from 1 species